rfam:Salmo salar isolate Sally breed double haploid chromosome ssa06, whole genome shotgun sequence.
ACGACUAACAUUUGUAAGUCGCUCUGGAUAAGAGCGUCUGCUAAAUGACUUAAA